CUUUCUAAAAUGCUCUUGGGAAACAGGUGUUUUGACACCUCUUUUCAAGUCUUAAAGGGGUAGUUUGGGAUUUUGAUAAACAGAUGAGUAUCUUUAUCAUCUUCUCCAGAGACAAACUAACAUGUGGUUACCAUUGUAAUGUAGGGGUUGAAUUUCAGCAAGAAUUAACAGAAUGAUUGGAAAACCUCUGGAAGGGCUUAGCAUGCAAGCUAUUACCAAAGACUUUCAGGGUGGCGCUAACACCCAGGUAGUGAUUAUUCGAACUGCCUACAAGGAUAUAAAAGUAGUACCAUCAAGUUAAUGAUCAUCAAGUAGACUCGGGAGAAGUUGAUAAAUGACCCCAUUGUCUAGAUCAUCUAUUGAGCCGUGUUGUCACCAGUCGUGUCGUGUUUUUAACCAUCAUGUGUGUAUUGUGUCCCAUGUAAACAGGUGUUUGUUCCAUUCUGUUUGUAACUGUCGUUCCCUCCUCCUUCGCCUGCAGCCUCUUCCACCACCCCCCCGCCACCGUGGCCGUAGCAUGUCCGUUUGCGUCCCCCACUUUUCCACCGCCCCUUCUGCUCUGUCCUGCCUCCCCAACCGGCCCUCCACCCCUCCCCUGGUGCUCUCUGCCCCCCACUCCCCCCGCGGGGGGUCGGACGACGGCGACACAUUUGCCGGCCGGCUCUCCAAGGCCCUGGAGAGCGUCCUGCCCCUGCACUCGACCCCUCCUCGCCCGCGGCAACAACGCCGAGCAAGUCUCCCGGCACUGUUUGCCAGCCCUCCGCAGCCUGUGAGUCACCAGUACAGCAGUGGGGGAGGAGCCUCGGCAGGCCUCCCAGAACCCCCGCCGCCUCUCUUUUUCCCCACCCUCCCGGAGCGACCAAUCUCCUUCUCGCCGCCGCCCGCCUGCCCCCCCUCCAAGGCCUACAGCAGCCAGCGGCGCAAGAGUACGUCGAUCCUGGAAGCCCACACGCGCCACUUCCAGCCCGCCUACCCCCGCUACGCCAGCAGCCUGGGCCCUUACCACCCGGGGAUGGAAGGCCUGAGCGUUGGGGGCGCCGGGCUGGACGGGCGGCUGGGACCGGACCCCGCGUCCCUCUUCGUGGUGCCCGGCUACGCCGCGCCGCGGACGGGGUCAGCGGGGGAGCCCGCGCGCCCCCACCUCCAAGGCCAGUCCCUCCAGGACCCGCUGUACGGCUACAAGGACGCGAGGGCGGAGCAGCAGGAGGAGGUGGUGGAGGCCGUGCGGCGGCUGAGCCUGAACCAGGCGGCGCUGCUGGACCACUUCGAGGCCAUGGCCUACAGCGGUUACCCCAUGACUGCUCACCAGAUCAACCAGAUCAGCUUCCACCAGCAGAUGCAGGCCGCCGCUGCCGCCGGCCUGGCCGCCUACCACCCCCAUGCGCCGGGCCCACACGUGUGCCUCGCUCACAGCCCCGCCCCUCAGCUGCCACCCACAAGCGCCCCGGGCGCCCGGGCCCCUCGUCCCGCCGACGGUUACCAGCUGCAGCACGCCGGCUCCUUCCCCCAGUCGGCCCCGCCGGUCAUGGAGCCGCCGCACGCCGGUGUCUUCGAUUUCCACGUCCAGAGUGUGGCCGCCGAUCCCGGCGCGCUGGCCACCAGGCUGUACCGGGCC
ensembl:lncRNA